CCUACGGGUGGCUGCAGUGGGGAAUAUUGCACAAUGGGGGGAACCCUGAUGCAGCGACGCCGCGUGGGUGAGGAAGUACUUCGGUAUGUAAAGCCCUAUCAGCAGGGAAGAAAAUGACGGUACCUGACUAAGAAGCCCCGGCUAACUACGUGCCAGCAGCCGCGGUAAUACGUAGGGGGCAAGCGUUAUCCGGAUUUACUGGGUGUAAAGGGAGCGUAGACGGCGUGCCAAGUCUGGUGUGAAAGGCCGGGGCUCAACCCCGGGACUGCAUUGGAAACUGGCAUGCUGGAGUGCAGGAGAGGUAAGUGGAAUUCCUAGUGUAGCGGUGAAAUGCGUAGAUAUUAGGAGGAACACCAGUGGCGAAGGCGGCUUACUGGACUGUAACUGACGUUGAGGCUCGAAAGCGUGGGGAGCAAACAGGAUUAGAUACCCCUGUAGUC
rnacentral:rRNA from 1 species